GAUGAACGCUGGCGGCGUGCCUAAUACAUGCAAGUCGAGCGAAUGGAUUAAGAGCUUGCUCUUAUGAAGUUAGCGGCGGACGGGUGAGUAACACGUGGGUAACCUGCCCAUAAGACUGGGAUAACUCCGGGAAACCGGGGCUAAUACCGGAUAACAUUUUGAACCGCAUGGUUCGAAAUUGAAAGGCGGCUUCGGCUGUCACUUAUGGAUGGACCCGCGUCGCAUUAGCUAGUUGGUGAGGUAACGGCUCACCAAGGCAACGAUGCGUAGCCGACCUGAGAGGGUGAUCAGACACACUGGGACUGAGACACGGCCCAGACUCCUACGGGAGGCAGCAGUAGGGAAUCUUCCGCAAUGGACGAAAGUCUGACGGAGCGACGCCGCGUGAGUGAUGAAGGCUUUCGGGUCGUAAAACUCUGUUGUUAGGGAAGAACAAAUGCUAGUUGAAUAAGCUGGCACCUUGACGGUACCUAACCAGAAAGCCACGGCUAACUACGUGCCAGCCGCCGCCGUAA
rnacentral:rRNA from 1 species